GUCCCCGUGUUAUUUGCGGCGCGUCUGCCAAGCGUCGUGAUUGUCACAGGGGACACACAGCAUUCGCCAAUAACUCGUUAUUGUGCACCACUAACGCCGCCGUGCCGGUGCACAUCUCCAUAUAUUGGCCACAUUU
rnacentral:snoRNA from 1 species